rnacentral:rRNA from 1 species
GGUGCCUACGGGACGCAGCAGUGGGGAAUAUUGGGCAAUGGGCGCAAGCCUGACCCAGCAACGCCGCGUGAAGGAAGAAGGCUUUCGGGUUGUAAACUUCUUUUAUGAGGGACGAAACAAAUGACGGUACCUCAUGAAUAAGCCACGGCUAACUACGUGCCAGCAGCCGCGGUAAUACGUAGGUGGCAAGCGUUAUCCGGAUUUACUGGGUGUAAAGGGCGUGUAGGCGGGACUGCAAGUCAGAUGUGAAAACUAUGGGCUCAACCCAUAGCCUGCAUUUGAAACUAUCGUUCUUGAGUGUUGGG